UACGGGGGGUGCAAGCGUUGUUCGGAAUUACUGGGCGUAAAGGGUUCGUAGGUGGCCAACUAAGUCGGACGUGAAAUCCCUCAGCUUAACUGGGGAACUGCGUCUGAUACUGGUUGGCUUGAGUGCAGGAGAGGAACGCGGAAUUCCAGGUGUAGCGGUGAAAUGCGUAGAUAUCUGGAGGAACACCGGUGGCGAAGGCGGCGUUCUGGACUGCAACUGACACUGAGGAACGAAAGCCAGGGGAGCAAACGGG
rnacentral:rRNA from 1 species